UAGUCACCAAAGUAUUUUCUAAAGAAGAUGAAUAUGGUUUCCUUAAAAGUGGUCAUGUUCUUCACCCUCUUGCUCAUUUGGAAAGGCAAUGCAGCUCCAGAACAACCUUGCCAGCAACCUGGAGAUUGCCAUCUGAACUGCGGAGAUGAUGCUGUUAAUAUUUGCCUCCAUAAUACCUGCUUGUGCCAACGCUGCACCAAUUUCUUCCCUCCCUCUCCCAGUGAUGAAUCUUUUGUAAUUCAAGAUUGUUCAACUGAUCAUCCCAAUUCCAAUUGCAAUCUGUCCUAAGAUUAUUGUAUCCUAAUACAAAUAUAUUGAAAAAGAAAGUUAUUUUA